GUGGGGAAUCUUAGACAAUGGGGGAAACCCUGAUCUAGCCAUGCCGCGUGAGCGAUGAAGGCCUUAGGGUUGUAAAGCUCUUUCAGCUGGGAAGAUAAUGACGGUACCAGCAGAAGAAGCCCCGGCUAACUCCGUGCCAGCAGCCGCGGUAAUACGGAGGGGGCUAGCGUUGUUCGGAAUUACUGGGCGUAAAGCGCACGUAGGCGGAUCAGAAAGUCAGAGGUGAAAUCCCAGGGCUCAACCUUGGAACUGCCUUUGAAACUCCUGGUCUUGAGGUCGAGAGAGGUGAGUGGAAUUCCGAGUGUAGAGGUGAAAUUCGUAGAUAUUCGGAGGAACACCAGUGGCGAAGGCGGCUCACUGGCUCGAUACUGACGCUGAGGUGCGAAAGCGUGGGGAGCAAACAGGAUUAGAAACCCCGGUAGUCC
rnacentral:rRNA from 1 species